UCAGCUUGGCUCUGCGGCUGGUGGAUUACGAGAUCAGUCAAAUAAGCUCCUGACUGGUCCCUACUCGGAACACUCCAUGCGGUGGCAAAUUAACGAGAUCGUCACUGUUCUGUCCAGACAGCAGUUCAAGAUCUGUCUACGUAGAAUCACACACAGGCACAGACCAGCAGCGAGAGCAAAAAGUUGAAUGAGAUGUCACCUCCACGCUAUCAUUUAAUAAGUCAAUCAGUUACCAGAAUCUUCAUCCCUCAAGGCCACGAACACAGGGUAUACCUGUAUAGUCCACCAAUAAAAAAGUUUAGAAUU